UACGUAGGGCGCAAGCGUUGUCCGGAAUUAUUGGGCGUAAAGAGCUCGUAGGCGGUUUGUCGCGUCUGCUGUGAAAACCUAAGGCUCAACCUUGGGCUUGCAGUGGGUACGGGCAGACUAGAGUGCGGUAGGGGUGACUGGAAUUCCUGGUGUAGCGGUGGAAUGCGCAGAUAUCGAGAGGAACACCUGCGGCGAAGGCGGGUUGCUGGGCUGACACUGACGCUGAAGCGCGAAAGCUAGGGGAGCGAACGGG
rnacentral:rRNA from 1 species